GGGCCACGGCGCAGACAACGGGGAAAACUGCGGACUUUACCUGAGAAAUACUCGUUGGCGUCCAUGGACGAGCGAGUCUGCAGAUGAAGAGCCGCGAGGAGGCCUGGCGGGGAGGCGAAGCCCGGAACCGCAGAGCAGGCACAAUGGCACUAUGUGCCAGGGGAUAAGAAGAAAGUGAAAAAACAGUCUCUGCUCUCCAGAAACUCGGUCUAAUGGAGGAGAAAAUGUACAAAUCACUUCCUACAGAUAAAAGAUAUCUACAGAAUUAGUGGGAGAUAAUCAAUAGAGGGAAAGCACUAAUAGGUAUUGAGAGUUUGAAAACGAGAUGAGAACAAGAACUCCAGGCAUGGAGAACAGCCAGUAAAAAUGCUUGCAGAGGGAAGGGCUUGGGGUGGGAGGUGGGGGUGGAUGGGGAAGAAUAAUGAAUGCCGUUUUGAAUAUGUUGAGCCAUUUUGAGAUGUCCCAUUGGCAAUUGCAGAUGCAAGACUGGAGGUCAAGGCUGAAUAAAUAGAUCUGGGAAUGAUUAGUAUAGA